AGAAGACAUAUGAGUUUUGACUAAUAGGAAUGGCGAUACUCUGUUGAACUCCUGGGGUAUUCAAUGGAAGCUUCAAAAAGAUAUUACCUCAUUUGAUCUUUGUAUACACCUCAUUAGAUACUGACAGCUAUUCAACAAAUAAAGAAAAAGAAGCAUAGAAAAUUUGGAUAACUUACUAAAGUCAUUGAGACAACAGACAGCCAAGGCAUUGGCACAGUCUUUGGACAUGUAAAUCAUGGAGAAGGAAGAGGCUGAUUGUUAUCCAUGAUUAGGCAGUGCAGAUAUAGCUCAAUAUUCCAAAUGGGAUGUUUUGGCCUUGGAGUUAAGUUCCAAGAGCAUUAUAAAAUAAUCACCUGUAUAGGAAGUCCUGACUUAACUCUAUUAACAACUUCGAAAGUCACAUACCUGAAGAUGAUCCUGCAUGUCCAUAGAGCCUAGGUCCCUCAAAAGAUGGUGUUGCAAUGACAGAAAUUGAGACAUCAAGAGAACGUUUAGCAGAAUAAGUUAGUUAAGAUGUAGGUGUGUCAAAAGUUUCAGGUGUCAGUAAACAUCAAAAGAAAAUGUAGCAGUAGCUAGAAAUUUCCAGGCUGAAGAUGAAGGUUAAAGCUAAAGAUAGACUAUUUUUGUCAUCUACAUGGAAGAUGAUGGCUAAAGCUAUAAGAGUGAAUGACAUCAGCAAGGAAGAAAAUACAGGAAUAAGGAAGAAGAGAUGGUGAAAUGGCUACUUGUAAGGAGUGGGAGAAAGAAUAAAUGAGAAGAAAAUGAAGAAUGUGUGGCCAAGAACAUAGGAGAAAAGCCAGGAAGAUCAAUGUCUUAUCAACAGACAGAUUUGAGCAGCAGGUACUCAACAGAGCUUAAGAAAAACAAAUAUUGAGAACAGAGUAAGGACUAUUUCAUUUGGUGAAUAGGAGAUUUCUAUUGAACUAGAAUAGCUAGGUAACUACAUUUUCAUGGGUUAAAAAGAGAAGAGGAGAAAGAACAGUGAGGAAGAGAACCCAUUGUAUUAUUGAGGAAUUUUGAAGUCAAAUAAAAAAGAGACGUGAGUGGAAUGACAUAAUUCUAGAGAUAAGUGAAGCUGGAAUACAUAUAAAGAAAAUGGAGAAUGUUACAUGCUUGGAAGGAAGGAGUGAGUCUUAGAAAUUAAGGGAGCAAGUUCCUUCAAGACAGAUGAAACGUAAUGAGCAACAGAAUGAACUAGAUAUGAUAAUGAUGCAAAACUCUUCUUUGUUACAUAUAGGCUGGGAGAAGGGUCCACACAAAAAUUCUGAGAUGGAGAUGAUGGCUAAAGUUAGAGUUCACAUUGGAUGACUUUGAACUCAGUAAACUAGGUGAAUUUGCCAGAAGAUAUGAAGCUGUGGGAACUUGGAAGCCCAGGACACUAUGAUAUUGAUUACAGGGAAAUAGUUUGAAAAUAUCACAAGAUUACAAGCAGCUGUAAGUGUCUUGACUAGCGAAAGACCUUGGAUUUGUAGAGCAUCAGUCUAUGUAUGUCUACAACAAUAUUCAUCAAUUUUAUUAAUCCAAGACUGGGUAUUAGAACAGGCAGGGAGUUAGGAGAACUUGGUAUUGACAGGGGCAAUGUCAGUCAGCAACAUGGCAGCAUGCAAAGAACUUUGGUCUGUGAGAUCAGGAAUCUAGGUUCUGGGUUCAUUCAUUACAUUGUCCUAGGCUAAUAACUUUCUUCUUUCACUCUUAUGUCUUCAUUUGUAAACUGGAGAUGCUAGACUAUGUAAUUUCAAAUAUGGUUUC